AGUGAACGCUGGCGGUAGGCCUAACACAUGCAAGUCGAACGGCAGCACAGUAAGAGCUUGCUCUUACGGGUGGCGAGUGGCGGACGGGUGAGGAAUACAUCGGAAUCUACUUUUUCGUGGGGGAUAACGUAGGGAAACUUACGCUAAUACCGCAUACGACCUACGGGUGAAAGCAGGGGAUCUUCGGACCUUGCGCGAUUGAAUGAGCCGAUGUCGGAUUAGCUAGUUGGCGGGGUAAAGGCCCACCAAGGCGACGAUCCGUAGCUGGUCUGAGAGGAUGAUCAGCCACACUGGAACUGAGACACGGUCCAGACUCCUACGGGAGGCAGCAGUGGGGAAUAUUGGACAAUGGGCGCAAGCCUGAUCCAGCCAUACCGCGUGGGUGAAGAAGGCCUUCGGGUUGUAAAGCCCUUUUGUUGGGAAAGAAAAGCAGCAGGUUAAUACCCCGCUGUUCUGACGGUACCCAAAGUAUAAGCACCGGCUAACUUCG
rnacentral:rRNA from 1 species